GCAGAUAUGGCCGAGUGGUUAAAAGCGACUGACUCGAAAUCAGUUUCCAUCUUGGAGCGUAGGUUCGAAUCCUACUAUCUGCG